rnacentral:rRNA from 1 species
UACGGAGGGGGCUAGCGUUGUUCGGAAUUACUGGGCGUAAAGCGCACGUAGGCGGCUUUGUAAGUUAGAGGUGAAAGCCCGGGGCUCAACUCCGGAAUUGCCUUUAAGACUGCAUCGCUUGAAUCAUGGAGAGGUGAGUGGAAUUCCGAGUGUAGAGGUGAAAUUCGUAGAUAUUCGGAAGAACACCAGUGGCGAAGGCGACUCACUGGACAUGUAUUGACGCUGAGGUACGAAAGCGUGGGGAGCAAACAGG